GGGUUGUGAGGUUAAGCGACUAAGCGUACACGGUGGAUGCCCUGGCAGUCAGAGGCGAUGAAGGGCGUGCUAAUCUGCGAUAAGCGCCGGUAAGGUGAUAUGAACCGUUAUAACCGGCGAUACCCGAAUGGGGAAACCCAGUGUGAUUCGUCACACUAUCAUUAACUGAAUCCAUAGGUUAAUGAGGCGAACCGGGGGAACUGAAACAUCUAAGUACCCCGAGGAAAAGAAAUCAACCGAGAUUCCCCCAGUAGCGGCGAGCGAACGGGGAGGAGCCCAGAGCCUGAAUCAGCAUGUGUGUUAGUGGAAGCGUCUGGAAAGGCGCGCGAUACAGGGUGACAGCCCCGUACACAAAAGCGCAUGUGCUGUGAGCUCGAUGAGUAGGGCGGGACACGUGGUAUCCUGUCUGAAUAUGGGGGGACCAUCCUCCAAGGCUAAAUACUCCUGACUGACCGAUAGUGAACCAGUACCGUGAGGGAAAGGCGAAAAGAACCCCGGCGAGGGGAGUGAAAAAGAACCUGAAACCGUGUACGUACAAGCAGUGGGAGCCCCACCACCAAAGCAUUCUCUGGUGUUGAAGGCCCUGCAAAGCAGCAUCGCGGUGGCGGAGCGUCGUUUGCGACGCCCAACACACAAAACAAGCGGUGAGUGCUUUGGGGUGGGGUGACUGCGUACCUUUUGUAUAAUGGGUCAGCGACUUAUAUUCUGUAGCAAGGUUAACCGUAUAGGGGAGCCGUAGGGAAACCGAGUCUUAACCGGGCGUUAAGUUGCAGGGUAUAGACCCGAAACCCGGUGAUCUAGCCAUGGGCAGGUUGAAGGUUGGGUAACACUAACUGGAGGACCGAACCGACUAAUGUUGAAAAAUUAGCGGAUGACCUGUGGCUGGGGGUGAAAGGCCAAUCAAACCGGGAGAUAGCUGGUUCUCCCCGAAAGCUAUUUAGGUAGCGCCUCGUGAAUUCAUCUCCGGGGGUAGAGCACUGUUUCGGCUAGGGGGCCAUCCCGGCUUACCAACCCGAUGCAAACUGCGAAUACCGGAGAAUGUUAUCACGGGAGACACACGGCGGGUGCUAACGUCCGUCGUGAAGAGGGAAACAACCCAGACCGCCAGCUAAGGUCCCAAAGUCAUGGUUAAGUGGGAAACGAUGUGGGAAGGCCCAGACAGCCAGGAUGUUGGCUUAGAAGCAGCCAUCAUUUAAAGAAAGCGUAAUAGCUCACUGGUCGAGUCGGCCUGCGCGGAAGAUGUAACGGGGCUAAACCAUGCACCGAAGCUGCGGCAGCGACACU
rnacentral:rRNA from 1 species